ensembl:lncRNA
CUAUCACUCUUUAACCUCAGCCCAUAAAUGCUGUGGUUGGCAGUAUUUAGCUUACUUAGUCUGUAUGUCUUUAUUUUUUUUUAACCUGUUACUGAUAUUUAUUGAUAGCGAUCAGGUCUGUUGAUCCAUUGUAAAUGCAGCAGUAGUCCUGAUGGAGGCACAGUGCUCGUACCUGACAGUACAGCGGGACAGCGCUCUCAUUACCACAACAAUGAAAUAAUUAUGAAUGCCGCUGCGAGACUUCAUCAGAGGAAUAUCUAUUGUAUUAUUUAUUCAGUCCCCUGGUUCAGGGAGAACACAUAUAAACUUCCAGCCAUGCUCUUCCCCAUGCACACACUCUCCUGUCUGCCUUUCAAAGCGGUGGCUUGCUCCUGCCACUGAUUUCAACUUCAUUUCUCCAGGCCCUGGGAUGCUUUGCUUGGACAUUGCCUCUGAUAUGUAGCCAUGACUGACCCUAACUGUCUCAAAAGACCAUUGCAGUCUGCAAAGUGCCAGUUGGAGGACGUUCAUUCAUCAGUAAGUGGUCAAUACUCUGAUGGGUUCAUAGCUACAAGCGAUUACUCAAUGCGGAACAUGCUGCCUUCAGAUGGAAGGCCAAACCAGAGGCCCAGUCCAGCCGUGGAGACUGAUGCUUGGAGAAUCGUCUGUAUUGAAGACAGCAACAAGACUGCAGCCAGACCAGCCACGCGAACAGAAAACUGACAUUGAUAUUGGGCUUCCUCAUCUGUCCAAACCCCCUGCUCUUUUGGGAUUGAAUAUGGAGAGGGGAAGGGCGAAAGGUGUCCAGAGCGGGAGGAGGUAGGUCAUUGGAUCUUUAGAUAAUCAGCGUGGGCUAAUGACCCCUCCAGAGAGAAUGUGUCUAAUCCAUUGAUCCUUAGGGAGCACUUCUCCCUACCCCCUCAUUUCACAGACACCACUGUUGAAUACUGAAUCCAAAGUACUGUGCUCAUGUGUGUUUCCACCGUGUCUACACUGCAACAGAGCGACGUGAUAAUGCUAAAGUCCGCACAUUAUCAAUGAAACUGUGUACAUUGCGAGCGAUGUGAAAAAAGUGAGCAAUUAUAAUCAACUUCAGUUGUUAGGAUAUUUUAAAAAGACAAAUCGCCGCCUUAGUCCAACUGAAAGUGAACCUUUAUAUUGCAUGUAAAGGCACUUACUGACAGACAGAACCCAAUUUAAGCACAGAACAGAACCCAUGUGUAACUAUAAAUGACAUAAAUUUGGUUUAUAUCAGAUUUACUGAAUAGAAAAUAUUAGUAUCUGUCACUGUCACUUAAAGUCACAUAAAAGCAUAAACUGUGGGUAAUUCAGAAUCAUAGUCACUUUAUUCACAAUAUACUGCACAUUUACAGGUAUUUUUCUUAGUGUUUGGUACAUGACACAUUCAGUACACACAUCUAAGAUACACAACACAAAUGCACAAAAAUUGCACCUGAUAUACAAGUAUGCAUCUAAAUAAAUAAAGUGAAGUCUCUGCCUGUAUAAUAGGACAGCUCUUGGCCAGAAUAAGAUACAAAGUGGACCAGACUUGAUGCCAAUAUUCAAAAGUCUGGCUAUCCAAGAGUAAUAGCCAUUUUAUAGAUUGCACAUAUAGAUUACUUGUUCAUCACUUCAGACUGACGGCAUGGUUUCACACUAAGACAUAUUGAAAGAGACAGUAGAUUUCUCUAAAUUAGCUGACUAACACACUGGAACACUAGCUAAUCAAUAUUCAAGUGAUCAUCAACAGCAUGUUGUUCGGAAAACUUAACCUGGAGGCCGAAGUAGUACAUUUUUCUUCAUGCUUUUAAAAUAUGUUUAUCUUAUCAAUCUUUCUGUCUGUCUUUACGUUGAUCAUUGCUCUUUGUCUAGAUGAUAGAUCCAAUGCUGGGUCAAAGUCCCUUUUCCGGGCUUCCUUAUUCAUACAUUUAGUCAUUUAUUACACUGCAGGAUAUCAAUUCUUCCUCAUAGAGAAAAAAAAUUACAACAGUUGUAAUUUUCCAGUAAUUGUGAGUUAGGUUUUGUCAUUAUUAAACCACUAUCUUUCGUCAUGUGAAAUGGCGUGCGUGUGUGUGUGUGUGUGUGUGUGUGUGUGUGUGUGUGUGUGUGUGUGUGUGUGUGUGUGUGUGCGUGUGCGAAGUUAUUGAGGAAGUGAAUGGUUUCCUGUGAUGAUGUGAACAUCUGUACGUCAUUUGAUCAUGACUGUGACAUUUUAUCUGACUGAGUCAUGCAAGACUUAGUGUAGUUAGUGUUUAAAGUCUGUCUUCUGAGGAAUUCCAGCAUGGCAUUUGUCAAACAAAGUCGAUAUUUCAAGUUAGCUUUGGCACAGAUCUUCAUUUUGCAUGCCAGUUGAUUUUGAAAUAAUGAAAUGGAUGUUUUGUUUCAACAUACAGUAUGAAUGAGGCAACAAAUAUUCAUGUGCAAAUACCUGUACAUUCUCUCUGCUGUACAGCAGAGGGUAGUGUUAGCCAGAAAGAACAAUGCUUUGGGCACUGUUGAGUUUUCUUUUAAAACGUUCAGUUGAAGAAAAGAGCAGAGAAAUGCUUGAAUCUGAAAUUUAUAUUAUAUAUAAUAACCAGAUCUAAAUAGUAUGGCACAUGAUGUGAUAAUAAUGGCUUACUACACACUCAGAAGAAUGUACUG